rnacentral:rRNA from 1 species
GACGAACGCUGGCGGCGUGCCUAAUACAUGCAAGUCGAGCGCGGGAAGCUUGCGGAAUCCUUCGGGAGGAAGUGAGCGGACCGAGCGGCGGACGGGUGAGUAACACGUGGGCAACCUGCCCGUAAGACGGGGAUAACCCCGGGAAACCGGGGCUAAUACCGGAUAGGUGACCUUUCUGCAUGGAGGGGUCAUGAAAGGCGGCGGAAGCCGUCGCUUACGGAGGGGCCCGCGGCGCAUUAGCUAGUCGGUGAGGGAAGGGCUCACCAAGGCGACGAUGCGUAGCCGGCCUGAGAGGGUGAACGGCCACACUGAGACUGAGACACGGCCCAGACUCCUACGGGAGGCAGCAGUAGGGAAUCUUCCGCAAUGGACGGAAGUCUGACGGAGCAACGCCGCGUGAGUGAGGAAGGCCUUCGGGUCUUAAAGCUCUGUUGUUCGUGAAGAAGGGGUUGGCCAGGAAAUGGGCCGACAUUGACGGUAGCGAACCAGAAAGCCCCGGCUAACUACGUGCCAGCAGCCGCGGUAACACGUAGGGGGCAAGCGUUGUCCGGAAUGAUUGGGCGUAAAGGGCGCGCAGGCGGCCUCUUAAGUCUGAUGUGAAAGCCCACGGCUCAACCGUGGAGGGACAUUGGAAACUGGGGGGCUUGAGUGCAGGAGAGGGGAGUGGAAUUCCACGUGUAGCGGUGAAAUGCGUAGAGAUGUGGAGGAACACCAGUGGCGAAGGCGGCUCUCUGGCCUGUGACUGACGCUGAGGCGCGAAAGCGUGGGGAGCGAACAGGAUUAGAUACCCUGGUAGUCCACGCCGUA